rnacentral:rRNA from 1 species
GAUGAACGCUAGCUACAGGCUUAACACAUGCAAGUCGAGGGGCAGCAUUUUUAUAGCAAUAUAAAGAUGGCGACCGGCGCACGGGUGAGUAACACGUAUCCAACCUGCCGAUAACUCGGGGAUAACCCUUCGAAAGAAGGCCUAAUACCCGAUGGCAUAUCCCUUCCGCCUGGUGGGGAUAUUAAAGAACUUCGGUUAUCGAUGGGGAUGCGUUCCAUUAGGCAGUUGGUGAGGUAACGGCUCACCAAACCUUCGAUGGAUAGGGGUUCUGAGAGGAAGGUCCCCCACAUUGGAACUGAGACACGGUCCAAACUCCUACGGGAGGCAGCAGUGAGGAAUAUUGGUCAAUGGACGAGAGUCUGAACCAGCCAAGUAGCGUGAAGGAUGAAGGUCCUAUGGAUUGUAAACUUCUUUAUACGGGAAUAAAGUGCAGUAUGCAUACUGUUUUGUAUGUACCGUAUGAAUAAGGAUCGGCUAACUCCGUGCCAGCAGCCGCAGUAAC